GUUGCUGAUCUACGAUUACUAGCAACUCCGACUUCAUGGGGUCGAGUUGCAGACCCCAAUCCGAACUGAGACUGGCUUUAUCGGAUUCGCUCCACCUUGCGGUAUCGCAGCCGUUUGUACCAGCCAUUGUAGCAUGCGUGCAGCCCAAGACAUAAGGGGCAUGAUGAUUUGACGUCAUCCCCACCUUCCUCCGAGUUAACCCCGGCAGUCUCCUGUGAGUCCCCAACUUAAUGCUGGCAACACAGAACGAGGGUUGCGCUCGUUGCGGGACUUAACCCAACAUCUCACGACACGAGCUGACGACAACCAUGCACCACCUGUAUACAGACCUUGCGGCUAUGACAUCUCUGCCAUAUUCCUGUAUAUGUCAAGCCUU
rnacentral:rRNA from 1 species